UGGUCUGCAGCUGGAUGGGUGGCCUUCACACUAGCCAUGUUAGUGUUAGCUGUACUUGGAGUGCUGUACUUCAAAGAGAGAGUUUCAGGGAAGAAAGCCAAUUCAGGAAAUGACCACCCUGAUGGGAAGGAAACCAAAUCAGAAACUGACCAUGUUGAAGAGAAUCAAAAUCUUUUACCAAAAGAACAGUAAAUGUUGCACUUGACAAGAAGGAAAAUCCAUAUCUCACAAUCAAGGAUCAUAGACUGAGAGAUUCCAACCGUGAAGAUUUUCCUGAUGGACAAAAGGUUACCUGUCUCACAGCUAUCAAAGGAACACCUGGCUUCUCUUCUGGACAACACUACUGGGAG